UACGUAGGGUGCAAGCGUUAAUCGGAAUUACUGGGCGUAAAGCGUGCGCAGGCGGUUAUGUAAGACAGUUGUGAAAUCCCCGGGCUCAACCUGGGAACUGCAUCUGUGACUGCAUAGCUAGAGUACGGUAGAGGGGGAUGGAAUUCCGCGUGUAGCAGUGAAAUGCGUAGAGAUGCGGAGGAACACCGAUGGCGAAGGCAGCCCCCUGGGCCAAUACUGACGCUCAGGCACGAAAGCGUGGGGAGCAAACAGG
rnacentral:rRNA from 1 species